rnacentral:tRNA from 1 species
GGGCGGCUGGCCCAAUGGCAAGGCGCUUGACUUCGAGAUUGAUUUGAAAAUAUCAAAAUCGGUCAAAGUUAUCAAGAGAUUGUCGGUUCGAUCCCGGCGUCGCUCA